rnacentral:rRNA from 1 species
ACUCCUACGGGAGGCAGCAGUGGGGAAUAUUGCACAAUGGGCGCAAGCCUGAUGCAGCAACGCCGCGUGAGGGACGACGGCCUUCGGGUUGUAAACCUCUUUUAGUAGGGAAGAAGCGAAAGUGACGGUACCUGCAGAAAAAGCACCGGCUAACUACGUGCCAGCAGCCGCGGUAAUACGUAGGGUGCAAGCGUUGUCCGGAAUUAUUGGGCGUAAAGAGCUCGUAGGCGGUCUGUCGCGUCUGCUGUGAAAACCCGAGGCUCAACCUCGGGCCUGCAGUGGGUACGGGCAGACUAGAGUGCGGUAGGGGAGAAUGGAAUUCCUGGUGUAGCGGUGGAAUGCGCAGAUAUCAGGAGGAACACCGAUGGCGAAGGCAGUUCUCUGGGCCGUAACUGACGCUGAGGAGCGAAAGCGUGGGGAGCGAACAGGAUUAGAUACCCUGGUAGUCCACGCCGUAAACGUUGGGCGCUAGAUGUGGGGACCAUUCCACGGUUUCCGUGUCGCAGCUAACGCAUUAAGC